rnacentral:rRNA from 1 species
GUUGAACGCUGGCGGCAGGCCUAACACAUGCAAGUCGAACGGUAACAGGAAGAAGCUUGCUUCUUUGCUGACGAGUGGCGGACGGGUUAGUAAUGUCUGGGAAACUGCCUGAUGGAGGGGGAUAACUACUGGAAACGGUAGCUAAUACCGCAUAACGUCGCAAGACCAAAGAGGGGGACCUUCGGGCCUCUUGCCAUCGGAUGUGCCCAUAUGGGAUUAGCUAGUAGGUGGGGUAACGGCUCACCUAGGCGACGAUCCCUAGCUGGUAUGAGAGGAUGACCAGCUAGACUGGAACUGAGAAACGGUACAGACUCCUACGGGAAGCAGCAGUGGGGAAUAUUGCACGAGGGGCGAAAGCCUGAUGCAGGCAUGCCGCGUGUAUGAAGAAGGACUUAGGGUUGGAAAGUAAUUACAGCGGGGAGGAAGGGAGUAAAGUUAAUACCGUUGCUCAUUGACGUUACCCGCAGAAGAAGCACCGGCUAACUCCGUG